AUUGAACGCUGGCGGCAGGCCUAACACCUGCAAGUCGAACGAGUGGCGGCCUGGUGAGUACUGUCUGGGCAACUGCCUGAUGUAGGGGGAUAACUACUGGAAACGGUAGCUAAUACCGCAUACCACACGUUGUGCCCAGAUGGGAUUAGCUAGUUGGUGGGGUAACGGCUCACCACGGCGAAGCUCCCUAGCAGGUCUGAGAGGCUGACCAGUCACACUGGAACUUGGACACGGUCCAGACUCCUACGGUGGUCAGCAGUGGGGAAUAUUGCACAAUGGGCGCAAGUCUGAUGCAGCCAUGCCGCGUGUAUGAAGAAGGCCUUGGGGUUGUAAAGUACUGUCAGCAAGGAGGCGUGACUCGAAGAAGAAGCACGGGCGAACGCCGAGGCAGCAGCCGCGGUAAUAC
rnacentral:rRNA from 1 species